CACGCCUACCCAUUUCCUUCUUAUGAGAAGGAAAUGCGACAGAAAACCACCUCUUCUGUUUGUAUUUUACUUCUGGAAACAUACACAUCCCAUCAACCCUCUCUAUCUUCAGUUUACUGGUGAAUAAAGAAGGACUUAAAGCACAACUUGAAUGGGUCUGGCCCAGUGUGGACAGUUGGAGGCUCAAGUUCAUACAUUGUGCUAUUAUUCUGUGUGGAACAGAGAUCCAGCUUGUUCAAAAGGAGACCAUUAUCUGACUGCCUGAAUAGAUCCCAUUGCAGGAAAAAUUGACUGAAAUAUUGUCAAAUGUGUUCCAGCAAUAAAAUUCAGAUGUUGUAUAUGCUACAAAGAAGAUAGUGACUGCUGAAUACAGACAAAUGGGAGAAGAAAGCAGUUUGGCCCAGAGGAAGAACACACAGUGGAGAUAAAGAGAUGUGUGCCAAGAAAGGCGAAUAUUCAGAUCAGAUGGGAUGCAGAUGAACAUCUGUGGAGACCCAUGAAUGAAGAAGAGAGAAGCAGAGGGAAAGAAAGAAACUGAUUGAAAAGAUGCAGUCAAAAUGGGCGGUGGGAAAGAGAAGGAGGAAUCCUAAUGGAAGCCAAGUGAUGUCAUCCUACAGGCCAGCUUCUCUGACUCAGAGGCAGUGUGGGGAAAAGACAGAGGAAGAGCAGGGCCAAAUGGGAGAUUCCAGCACCUUCUUCUUGGGGAUUUGAAUUCUAUCUAAUAAGCCUUUCAAAGCAGGGUUAUUAGACUUCUGUGAGCCACAGACCCUUUUGAGAACUUGAAAACUAAUAAUCUCUUGGCCCAAAGACAUGCACAUAAUAACAUACACAAAUGUGGCAUGCACUUUUAGGGAGCAUUCCAUAGCUCCUUGACUCCAUCCUAAGUCUCAGUUUAAGAAAGUCUGCUGUAGUAUU